UGAGGUCGAUCUCCUGCUUGGUGACGUUGUCUGUCACGAAGUAGUUCUCGGAGGCGUCCACCACCGACUGGUCCCCGUCGUCCCUGCUGCUCCUUCCCUGCUGAUGUCCCUGCACCAGCGGCGGCCACACAGUGCCCUCCUCCCGGCAGCAGCCCAGCAGGGAUGGCAGCGGGCAGGCCUCUGCUCACACCCCUUCCUGCUCCUCCUGGGAACUCCCGGAGGCCAUCCCGCUCCGCAUGUCCCGAGUGGUCCCACCUCGGCCACAGCCCCACGGAGCAGCAGGGGCCACCAGCCCGGAGUCAGUCGGCAAGGACGGCCCUGCUCCUCUGUUGACAGUUUGUCAGGAGCCACCAUGAGUCACCAAUAAGUGGCGGAAGACUGUUAAUCACCACCCGGAAUGUGCAGCCGCUGCCGGUUGCCCAGGAGCAGACUCAUGACCCUUUCGAGGUGCCCGUCACUUGGGACGCACCCGGCCGGGCAGGCUGCACCGGGGCUGUUAACAGGGAGCGGCACGGUCGCCUUCUGCUCUACCCAGCCUUCUGGGUAGACCCCAGAAGACCCCCGGCGGGGCCUUCCUCAGCAUGCUGCCUCGUGCCCCUGGACACGCAGCCGGCCAAGGCGGGGAGCUUGAAGACCAAGCUGCCACGGAAGCCAGAGACGCCCCCGGUGCCCUGGGGCAGGGUGAGGCCAGGGCCCCAACCAGCCCUGGUGGUUCGGGACCUCCAGGGGGUCGGAGGUCACAACCCGUGCCCCCGGCCCUGGCCUGGCCUCUGCGGUUCCUCCCUGCCCCUUACCCUCCUCCUUCCUCCAAGUCAGGCCCCUGGGGACAGGGGCUCGGGUCUCCCGUGUGCCCACGCGUUUUCACGAUGUGUACACACAUGGGUCUUGUCUGGGCCACGCAUGCUGCCUGUGUCUGCCUGCGGUCCGAUGCAUGUUGUGUAUACACGCCGGCCACAUGCACAGGACGUGGCGUGUAUACGGGGGUUCAGGCCACGAGCUCCGCUGUGAGUGUGCAUGCUUGCCCGGGCACGAGCACGGUGCGUAUCACAUGGACGUGCGCAUGCACUCAGUUUUGCACACAGCCAUCCUCUGGGGGUGUGCGGCCUGCUCACUGCACACGGGGAGUCCGCCGUGGCGGCUCGUGUGCGCAGUUUACACACGGAUCCCUCGCGUGCAAAACUGUUCUCUGCAGACACGUUUGCUGCGCCCACACGGAGCACCCGCUUUGCCGCACUGUAUGAUCCGCACGUGCCGCGCGUCCACAUACAUGGCGUCCACACGUGCCACGCCGCACACUGAAUUUACAUAUCCCGUAUGAGGUGAUGUGUACACAGCACACACGUGGACAUGCGCACCCGGAAACUGCGGCGGGUGUGACUCUCCGUGUCUUCUGCACCCACGGACACGCUGACCUGCACACACGGGACCAGGAGCUCCAGCCGCACCUCCGUGGGCACUCGCUUUACCUGAGUCCGGACGCUACGGGUGACGCGCACACACACCCUGGGCAGAUACGCUCGGAAAGCAAAGCCCGUCUGCCCAGACGGGCCCUCGGCGGGAGGUCACAGGCACUUACACGCUGGUCAUAACACGAUGGCCCACACACACGUAAAAUGUGCAUUCCUGACGUUUAUGGAGCUCGGAGCCCGGGCCUCACGGGGCGCCCACUGCCAGCCACCGGGAGGGUCUCGAGACCGCCCCGGUUUAUACCCACUCGUGGCCGUGGCUGUCUUAGGAGGUGGCGGGGCUGACCUUGUGCCUUUCCUUAGCCUGGGGCCGCGUGCACCGGGAAGGAACACAGGGAUCUCUGGGAAAGGGCAGCCACCCGCCCAGCAAACGCUUCUGACGGUUCUUGGCCAGCACCCGUGAGGGUCAUUUACACGCCCCUCUCUACCUUCCUGGACGUCUGUGUUCUGCUUUCCACACACCGGUCUGCACCCACGGGCACGUGGCAUGCAUAGUGAGGCACGAAACUAUCCUCUCUUACACAACCCCCCACACCCACUGUGUGCGCACACAUGUCCGUGGAGCAGAAGUACAGGACAAGGGUGAGGAACACAGCGUCUGGGCCCACGCCCCUCGUCCCUUACUAGCUGUGUGACCUUGGGCGAGUCUCUACCCACCCCAGCAUCUUUCUGCUUUUUUUGGCCCCGGCAAGAGGGCUUCCUGUGGGGAUGGCGUGCAUGCGAAUGUGUACGUGUGCUAUGUGUACGCACAUGUAUAUGCACAGACAGUACACAUAUGCGCGUCUCA